rfam:Vibrio maritimus DNA, contig: contig00009, strain: JCM 19240.
CAUACUUUAAUUUAAAUCCACACACAUUUCGUCACAUGUUCCGGGGUGCUUGAGUAAUCAUUCAUACCAAGUCGGAACCAUGGGAAAUGUGGAGGCCUAAC